rnacentral:rRNA from 1 species
CACGUAGGGGGCAAGCGUUGUCCGGAUUCAUUGGGCGUAAAGAGCUCGUAGGCGGUUCGAUAAGUCGGGUGUGAAACCUCCAGGCUCAACCUGGAGACGCCACCCGAUACUGUCGUGACUAGAGUCCAGUAGGGGAGCGUGGAAUUCCUGGUGUAGCGGUGAAAUGCGCAGAUAUCAGGAGGAACACCAGCGGCGAAGGCGGCGCUCUGGGCUGGAACUGACGCUGAGGAGCGAAAGCGUGGGUAGCAAACAGG